AUUGAACGCUGGCGGCAGGCCUAACACAUGCAAGUCGAGCGAGCGGCGGACGGGUAAGUAAUGUAUGGGGGCUGCUCGCUAGAGGGGAAUAACUACUGAAAACGGUUGCUAAUACCGCAUACUAUCGGAUAACCCAUAUGGGAUUAGCUAGUAGGUGGGGUAAAGGCUCACUUGGGCGACGAUCUCUAGCUGGUCUGAGAGGAUGAUCAGCAACAAUGGAACGUAGACACGGCCCAGGCUCCUAAGGAGGCACCAGUGGGGAAUAUUGCGCAAUGGGGGCAAGCCUGAUGCAGCCAUGCGGCGUGUAUUAAGAAGGCCUUAGGGUUGUAAAGUACGUUCAGCGGGGAGGUGUUACCCGCAGAAGAAGCACCGGCUAACUACGUGCCAGCAGCCGCGGUAAUAC
rnacentral:rRNA from 1 species